GAGGGCAAGUCUGGUGCCAGCAGCCGCGGUAAUUCCAGCUCCAAUAGCGUAUAUUAAAGUUGUUGCAGUUAAAAAGCUCGUAGUUGGAUUUCUGUUGUAUAAUCUAUAAUAUUACUAAGGUAUAUAUUAUAUUAUCAACAUCCUUCCUAUUAUAUUUCUAAAUAUAUAGGAAACUUUACUUUGAGAAAAUUAGAGUGCUUAAAGCAGGCAACUGCCUUGAAUACUCCAGCAUGGAAUAAUAAGUAAGGACUUUUGUCUUUCUUAUUGGUUCUAGGACAAAAGUAAUGGUUAAUAGGGACAGUUGGGGGCAUUCGUAUUUAACAGCCAGAGGUGAAAUUCUUAGAUUUGUUAAAGACGAACUACUGCGAAAGCAUUUGCCAAGGAUGUUUUCAUUAAUCAAGAACGAAAGUUAGGGGAUCGAAGACGAUCAGAUACCGUCGUAGUCUUAACCAUAAACUAUGCCGACUAGAGAUUGGAGGUUGUUCCUUACU
rnacentral:rRNA from 1 species